rfam:Oceanospirillum sp. MED92 scf_1099521380394 genomic scaffold, whole genome shotgun sequence.
GGAGUUUGCCAGGCAGUCGCUGCCCUUUCGGGGGUGGAGGAAAGUCCGGGCUCCAAAGGGUAGAGUGCCAGAUAACGUCUGGGCGGCGCGAGUCGACGGAAAGUGCAGCAGAAAAUAUACCGCCUACGUAUCUCGAUUUUCGGAUCGGGAUGCCGGUAAGGUUGAAAUGGUGCGGUAAGAGCGCACCGCGUGGGUGGCAACAUUCCACGGCAUGGUAAACCCCACUCGGAGCAAGACCAAAUAGGGUUCCUAUAGGCGUGACCCGCGCUGGAACCGGGUAGGUUGCUUGAGGCCUGUAGCGAUGCAGGUCCUAGAUGAAUGACUGUCCACGACAGAACCCGGCUUACCGGCAAACUCCUCAU